rnacentral:rRNA from 1 species
CCUACGGGUGGCUGCAGUGGGGAAUAUUGCACAAUGGGCGCAAGCCUGAUGCAGCCAUGCCGCGUGUGUGAAGAAGGCCUUCGGGUUGUAAAGCACUUUCAGCGGGGAGGAAGGCGUUAAGGUUAAUAACCUUGUCGAUUGACGUUACCCGCAGAAGAAGCACCGGCUAACUCCGUGCCAGCAGCCGCGGUAAUACGGAGGGUGCAAGCGUUAAUCGGAAUUACUGGGCGUAAAGCGCACGCAGGCGGUCUGUCAAGUCGGAUGUGAAAUCCCCGGGCUCAACCUGGGAACUGCAUUCGAAACUGGCAGGCUAGAGUCUUGUAGAGGGGGGUAGAAUUCCAGGUGUAGCGGUGAAAUGCGUAGAGAUCUGGAGGAAUACCGGUGGCGAAGGCGGCCCCCUGGACAAAGACUGACGCUCAGGUGCGAAAGCGUGGGGAGCAAACAGGAUUAGAUACCCAGUAGUC